UACGGGGGGGGCAAGCGUUGUUCGGAAUUACUGGGCGUAAAGGGCUCGUAGGCGGCCAACUAAGUCGGAUGUGAAAUCCCCAAGCUUAACUUGGGAACUGCAUCCGAUACUGGAUGGCUUGAAUCCGGGAGAGGGAUGCAGAAUUCCAGGUGUAGCGGUGAAAUGCGUAGAUAUCGGGAGGAACACCAGUGGCGAAGGCGGUUGCCUGGGGCUUUGCUGACGCUGAUGCGCGGAAAGCGUGGGGGAGCGAUCCGG
rnacentral:rRNA from 1 species